rnacentral:rRNA from 1 species
UACAUGGGGUGCAAACGUUGCUCGGAAUUAUUGGGCGUAAAGCGCACGUAGGCGGUUCGUUAAGUCGGGGGUGAAAUCCUGGAGCUCAACUCCAGAACUGCCUUCGAUACUGGAAGACUUGAGUCCGGGAGAGGUGAGUGGAAUUCCUAGUGUAGAGGUGAAAUUCGUAGAUAUUAGGAAGAACACCAGUGGCGAAGGCGGCUCACUGGCCCGGUACUGACGCUGAGGCGCGAAAGCGUGGGGAGCAAACAGG